AGAUCAUGGUGUGGGCAAUUUCUAAGAAGACCUUUGUACCUUUCCCACGCCUCAUAAAGGGAUUCUCCGGGUUGUUGCUCGAAGUUGGCAAUGGCUUUCUUCAACUU